GAGCACUCACAGGAAGUUUAACGUGUUCCUCAGUCUCUGGAAGAACAAGAACACAUUUGAGGGCACAGAAAACUGAACCAGUCAAACUGCUAAUUGAGUUUAUUUUCAAGUUUCAACAGCAUUGAGGACCACCUGCAUAGUCAUGUAGAACUGUUUUUCCCCAGCAGGUGCAGGAUCUUUGGGGCCAAGGUGGUUCUCUGCCACAAUGGAACUUGUCCCGGAAGCCACCCUGCAUGCAGACGCUGGAUGAAGUCAAAAGGAUGUCAGUCUUUGACGCAGAUCAAGUCAGACCUUGAAGCAGGAAAUCUGCUUCACUCGUCGGUCCAAGCCGGGUUCAGGUUCUCCAGGGCCAAGAUGCUUUUGCACCACCUAGUGGACAUGAGUGAAGAGUAGUGAAGAGUGUUCAAACCCAGCAUCGCUUAAAGGGGAGGUUGUCAUAACUGCACACAGAAGCAGGAUGUAAGGAAUGGCACAAAGGCACAAUCUUUUACCAUCACCAUUGGAGAUGAAUGCAUUUUGGGUGUUGUGACAUGUUCCCACCUUAAUGAUGUCAUCACAGGAAUAAAUCUGUUAGCUUUUGCAA